GAUGAACGCUGGCGGCGUGCCUAAUACAUGCAAGUCGAGCGAACGGACGAGAAGCUUGCUUCUCUGAUGUUAGCGGCGGACGGGUGAGUAACACGUGGAUAACCUACCUAUAAGACUGGGAUAACUUCGGGAAACCGGAGCUAAUACCGGAUAAUAUUUUGAACCGCAUGGUUCAAAAGUGAAAGACGGUCUUGCUGUCACUUAUAGAUGGAUCCGCGCUGCAUUAGCUAGUUGGUAAGGUAACGGCUUACCAAGGCAACGAUGCAUAGCCGACCUGAGAGGUGGAGCGGACCCAGCGGAAGCUGAAGAAGUACCAGAACCCUAGGAGGGGCCGCGGGAGGGAGUCUGCCGAAAUGGGCAAAGGCAUAAGGGGGAACCGCCGGGGGAGUGAGAAUGGGCUUCGGAUGGAAAAACUCGGUUAUUGGGGAAGAAAUGGUGUGAAAGGAGCGGUGCAUAAUUGGGGGGACCCGAACAGGAGAGCCCCGGUUAACAGAGU
rnacentral:rRNA from 1 species